rnacentral:rRNA from 1 species
CAGUAGCCGCGGGAAAACGAAGGGGGCUAGCGUUGCUCGGAAUUACUGGGCGUAAAGGGAGCGUAGGCGGACAUUUAAGUCAGGGGUGAAAUCCCAGAGCUCAACUCUGGAACUGCCUUUGAUACUGGGUGUCUUGAGUGUGAUAGAGGUGUGUGGAACUCCGAGUGUAGAGGUGAAAUUCGUAGAUAUUCGGAAGAACACCAGUGGCGAAGGCGACAUACUGGAUCAUUACUGACGCUGAGGCUCGAAAGCGUGGGGAGCAAACAGGAUUAGAUACCCCGGUAGUCCCUGUCUCUUAUAA